rnacentral:rRNA from 1 species
AUGAACGCUGGCGGCGUGCCUAAUACAUGCAAGUCGAGCGAACAGACGAGGAGCUUGCUCCUCUGACGUUAGCGGCGGACGGGUGAGUAACACGUGGAUAACCUACCUAUAAGACUGGGAUAACUUCGGGAAACCGGAGCUAAUACCGGAUAAUAUAUUGAACCGCAUGGUUCAAUAGUGAAAGACGGUUUUGCUGUCACUAUAGAUGGAUCCGCGCCGCAUUAGCUAGUUGGUAAGGUAACGGCUUACCAAGGCAACGAUGCGUAGCCGACCUGAGAGGGUGAUCGGCCACACUGGAACUGAGACACGGUCCAGACUCCUACGGGAGGCAGCAGUAGGGAAUCUUCCGCAAUGGGCGAAAGCCUGACGGAGCAACGCCGCGUGAGUGAUGAAGGUCUUCGGAUCGUAAAACUCUGUUAUUAGGGAAGAACAAAUGUGUAAGUAACUAUGCACGUCUUGACGGUACCUAAUCAGAAAGCCACGGCUAACUACGUG